CAUAUACUCCCUCCGUUCAAGAAAAGAUGUCUCUAAGUUUGUUAAAAUUUGAAUAUAUCUGUAUAGAUGCAUUCAAAAUUAGUCAAAAUUGAGACAUCCUUUAUUGGACGGAAGGAGUAUAAG
rnacentral:pre_miRNA from 1 species